GACGAACGCUGGCGGCGUGCUUAACACAUGCAAGUCGAACGGAAAGGCCCUGCUUGCAGGGUACUCGAGUGGCGAACGGGUGAGUAACACGUGGGUGAUCUGCCCUGCACUUCGGGAUAAGCUUGGGAAACUGGGUCUAAUACCGGAUAGGAGCCAUCUUUAGUGUGGUGGUUGGAAAGUUUUUUCGGUGUAGGAUGAGCUCGCGGCCUAUCAGCUUGUUGGUGGGGUAAUGGCCAACCAAGGCGGCGACGGGUAGCCGGCCUGAGAGGGUGUACGGCCACAUUGGGACUGAGAUACGGCCCAGACUCCUACGGGAGGCAGCAGUGGGGAAUAUUGCACAAUGGGCGCAAGCCUGAUGCAGCGACGCCGCGUGGGGGAUGAAGGCCUUCGGGUUGUAAACUCCUUUCGCUAGGGACGAAGCUUUUUUGUGACGGUACCUAGAUAAGAAGCACCGGCUAACUACGUG
rnacentral:rRNA from 1 species